rnacentral:rRNA from 1 species
UACGUAGGGUGCGAGCGUUAAUCGGAAUUACUGGGCGCAAAGCGUGCGCAGGCGGUGCGCCAAGCUCGAUGUGAAAGCCCCGGGCUUAACCUGGGAAUUGCAUUGAGGACUGGCGUGCUCGAGUGCGGCAGAGGGGGGUGGAAUUCCACGUGUAGCAGUGAAAUGCGUAGAGAUGUGGAGGAACACCGAUGGCGAAGGCAGCCCCCUGGGCCGACACUGACGCUCAUGCACGAAAGCGUGGGGAGCAAACAGG